rnacentral:rRNA from 1 species
CCUACGGGUGGCAGCAGUGAGGAAUAUUGGUCAAUGGGCGGAAGUCUGAACCAGCCAAGUAGCGUGAAGGAUGACUGCCCUAUGGGUUGUAAACUUCUUUUAUAAAGGAAUAAAACGAGGCACGUGUGCCUCUUUGCAUGUACUUUAUGAAUAAGGAUCGGCUAACUCCGUGCCAGCAGCCGCGGUAAUACGGAGGAUCCGGGCGUUAUCCGGAUUUAUUGGGUUUAAAGGGAGCGUAGAGGGGUUGUUAAGUCAGUUGUGAAAGGCUGCGGCUCAACCGUAAAAUUGCAGUGGAUACUGGCAGUCUUGAGUGCAGGUGAGGUAGGCGGAAUUCGUGGUGUAGCGGUGAAAUGCUUAGAGAUCACGAAGAACCCCGAUUGCGAAGGCAGCUUACUAAACUGUGACUGACGUUGAUGCUCGAAAGCGUGGGUAUCGAACAGGAUUAGAUACCCCAGUAGUC